GCAUGCCUUGCUAGCCAAGGCGUAUUAAUGCGUAUUAAACCCUAGGUACCUUAGUAGCCGUCUUUUCCUUUUUGAGUGACUGUCAUACCUGUGAAGGAGGAGCCGAAGGGUUUAGGUGAGGGAUCGAAAACGUUGCGAGACUUCAGAUCGGGUUCAAUAACGCCGCGAGAUUUAGGUAGGAGCAGGCGCUAGUGUACGUCGGGCAGGGAGGGACAGACGCGCCACCGGAGAUGGAUGAACGACGACGCUUCCACAGGUGACAGCAGCCAAGCCCACGAUUAGGGCUAUUGAGGCGUUCGGGCGAGGAAGACGAAGCGGCGGGCGCGGGUCGACCCUCGGCAUUCUGCGGUUCGUCUCGGCUGGCGUGCAGCCCACACCUCACAGGCCGCGCUCAGGCCCACCAUUGGGCCUCGUUCCUUUUCGGCCCAAACCAGAGGUGCGCCCAAAAAAAACCCUGCGCCAUUAGGGUUCUUCGAAGCCCAUCGGUUUCGGCUCCACCAGCGGCUCGGCCAGGUCGGCUCGGCUAUGCGGCUUGGCGGCGCGGCUCGGCGGCUCGGCAUCCGAAUAGCAUACCGGUUUCUAGGUUUUUGACCCUUCUGGAGUCAUUCCCACCCUUGUUUCAGCCAUCUGAGGAGGUAGUUAGGCGCUGGAGUUAGCAUUGUGGGUGACUUCGGCCAAGGCCAAGGAGGUAAGUAACCUUACUGUUGGCGUUAGUUUUGUAUGUAUGUUGGUGCGUGCCCUGUGGCCCUUGCAUGCACCAUAUGUUGUUGCUGUAUGCUAGGUUAGAUGUUUCUUGCCGUGAAAUGCUAUGCAUGCUUUGUUUAUGUAUGUGAUUCUUGCAGUGAAUUGCUAUGUAUGCCAUGUUUAUGAAUAUGAUGUUGUGACGCGUUUUGUCGCCCUGUAUGUAUGAUGAGCUUGAUUGACAUGUUAUGAUUGUAAUGAGAACCCCACAUGCCAUGAAUAAGAUGACUAGUAUGCUAGGACAUGCUUGCUCAAUGUGGACCCUGUUAUGCUAUGUUAUGCUUGCCUAAUGUGGACCCGGUUAUGCUACGUAAUGCGGCGAGGGGAUGGAGCGUCGUAUGUGUAAUGCCAUGGAGGCCCUCCUUUGUCCGUGGCGUCCGGUAUUGUAUGUCAUACAUACCCGACCAAGCCAGGCCCAGGGAGUUCGCUUGCGAGCUCGCCUGGUGGGCCCACGAUCACACACGUGGGCCAUGUGUGGGAAAUUACCAUGCAUCCACCCCCGCCCGGACAAGGCAAGGGCCUAAGGCCAUGGGAAGGAAUGGAAGACAAACCUCUCUCUCAGCUGCGUUCUUCUAACAUUGUGCGGCAUGUAUGGAAAGGGCAAGGCUCCCAUGUACGGAUGACGGUGGAUGAGGCGAAGGGCCAUGGAAAUCUUGAGGAGGGUUUGUUGUGUCGUAGCGCCUGUUGGAUUCUCUUGGGUUCUUAGUUUUGCGAAUUGUUUUCUCUAGUCUCUGUUGAUUACUUCUAGGCUAGGUUGUCGCAAUUGUUUUCCUAGAUAUGAACUGCUUAAAUUGAUGAAUGCAUUUUCGUUGUUGAUUACUUCUAGGCUAGGUUGUCGCAAUUGUUUUCCUAGAUAUGAACUGCUUAAAUUGAUGAAUGCAUUUUCGUUACCGAGGCUGUUCCAUGUGAA